rfam:Eggerthella lenta DSM 2243, complete genome.
AUCCUCGACCGGAUAUGGAGAAAUGGGGCCGCCAGAUGGAACGCCGCGCCACAAGGUAGAAUCGAUAGCAAGCGGAACCCGUUCCUUAUGCUGUCACACCUUGGGAACGCGGGCAACGCAGGUGCGCGCCCCGGGGCCGGGCGAAAACGGCCC